rfam:Pteropus alecto contig1452, whole genome shotgun sequence.
GGCUCCAUAGUGUCUUGGUUAGCACAUCUGCUUUAUAUGCAGAAGGUCCUGGGUUUGCACUCCAGGUGGAACCA